rnacentral:rRNA from 2 species
GGGGAAUUUUCCGCAAUGGGCGCAAGCCUGACGGAGCAAGACCGCGUGAGGGAGGAAGGCUCUUGGGUUGUAAACCUCUUUUAUCAGGGAAGAAGCUCUGACGGUACCUGAUGAAUCAGCAUCGGCUAACUCCGUGCCAGCAGCCGCGGUAAUACGGAGGAUGCAAGCGUUAUCCGGAUUUAUUGGGCGUAAAGCGUCCGCAGGUGGUUUUUCAAGUCUGCUGUUAAAGCGCGAGGCUUAACCUCGUACAGGCAGUGGAAACUGAGAGACUAGAGUAUGGUAGGGGUAGCGGGAAUUCCCAGUGUAGCGGUGAAAUGCGUAGAUAUUGGGAAGAACACCAGCGGCGAAAGCGCGCUACUGGGCCAUUACUGACACUCAUGGACGAAAGCUAGGGGAGCGAAAGGGAUUAGAUACCCCUGUAGUCCUAGCUGUAAACGAUGGGUACUAGGUGUUGACCGUAUCUUUUUUUUCAGUGCCGUAGCUAACGCGUUAAGUACCCCGCCUGGGGAGUAUGCACGCAAGUGUGAAACUCAAAGGAAUUGACGGGGGCCCGCACAAGCGGUGGAGUAUGUGGUUUAAUUCGAUGCAACGCGAAGAACCUUACCAGGGCUUGACAUGUCGCGAAUCUCGGUGAAAGUCGAGAGUGCCUUCGGGAGCGCGAACACAGGUGGUGCAUGGCUGUCGUCAGCUCGUGUCGUGAGAUGUUGGGUUAAGUCCCGCAACGAGCGCAACCCUCGUUUUUAGUUGCCAGCAUUUAGUUGGGCACUCUAGAGAGACUGCCGGUGACAAACCGGAGGAAGGUGGGGAUGACGUCAAGUCAGCAUGCCCCUUACGCCCUGGGCUACACACGUACUACAAUGCUUCGGACAAAGGGUUGCGAGCUAGCGAUGGCAAGCUAAUCCCGUAAACCGAGGCUCAGUUCAGAUUGCAGGCUGCAACUCGCCUGCAUGAAGGAGGAAUCGCUAGUAAUCCCAGGUCAGCAUACUGGGGUGAAUACGUUCCCGGGCCUUGUACACACCGCCCGUCACACCAUGGGAGUUGGCCACGCCCGAAGUCGUUACUCCAACCGCUUGCGGAGGAGGAUGCCGAAGGCAGGGCUGAUGACUGGGGUGAAGUCGUAACAAGGUAGCCGUACCGGAAGGUGUGGCUGGAUCACCUCCUUUU